AGCUAGCUGUUUGAGCUAACACUAACAGCUAGCUAUAUCAGCUAACCCUAAUGGCUAGCUAUACCAGCUAACACUAACCCUAACAGCUAGUUAAACAAGCUAACACUAACAGCUAGCUAUACUAGCUAACACUAACUAUAACAGCGAACUAUACUGGCUAACAUUAACCCUAACAGCUAGCUAUACUAGCUAUCAGAGUGGUAGAGAGUGGUAGUGAGGGAGAGCGGUAGUGGGGGAGAGAGGGAGUGAGGGAGAGUAGGAGAGUGGUAGUGAGGGAGUGAGGGAGAGUAGGAGAGGGGUAGUGAAGGAGAGGAGGAGUGAGGGAGAGUGGUAGUGAGGGAGAGGGGGAGAGAGGGAGUGAGGGAGAGUAGGAGAGCGGGAGUGAGGGAGAGUAGGAGAGUGGUAGUGAGGGAGAGGGGGAGAGAGGGAGUGAGGGAGAGUAGGAGAGUGGUAGUGAGGGAGAGGGGGAGUGAGGGAGAGUAGGAGAGUGGUAGUGAGGGAGUGAGGGAGAGUAGGAGAGGGGUAGUGAAGGAGAGGGGGAGAGCGGGAGUGAGGGAGAGUGGUAGUGAGGGAGACUGGGAGAGAGGGAGUGAGGGAGAGUAGGAGAGCGGUAGUGAGGGAGAGGGGGAGAGAGGGAGUGAGGGAGAGUGGUAGUGAGGGAGACGGGGAGAGAGGGAGUGAGGGAGAGUAGGAGAGUGGUAGUGAGGGAGAGGGGGAGAGUAGGAGAGUGGUAGUGAGGGAGAGGGGGAGUGAGGGAGAGUAGGAGAGUGGUAGUAAGGGGGAGAGAGCGAGUGAGGGAGAGGGGGAGAAAGGGAGAGUGGUAGUGAGGGAGAGGGGAGAAAGGGAGAGUGGUAGUGAGGCAGAGUGGUAGUGAGGGAGUAGGAGAGUGGUAGUGAGGGAGGGUGGUAGUGAGGGAGAAUGGUAGUGAGGGAGUGGGAGUGAGGGAGGGUGGUAGUGAGGGAGAGUGGUAGUGAGGGAGUAGGAGAGUGGUAGUGAGGGAGAGUGGUGGUGAGGGAGUAGGAGAGUGGUAGUGAGGGAGAGUGGGAGUGAGGGAGACUGGGAGAGAGGGAGUGAGGGAGAGUAGGAGAGCGGUAGUGAGGGAGAGGGGGAGAGAGGGAGUGAGGGAGAGUGGUAGUGAGGGAGACGGGGAGAGAGGGAGUGAGGGAGAGUAGGAGAGUGGUAGUGAGGGAGAGGGGGAGAGUAGGAGAGUGGUAGUGAGGGAGAGGGGGAGUGAGGGAGAGUAGGAGAGUGGUAGUAAGGGGGAGAGAGCGAGUGAGGGAGAGGGGG
ensembl:lncRNA